rnacentral:rRNA from 1 species
GACGUAGGGCGCGAGCGUUGUCCGGAUUUAUUGGGCGUAAAGAGCUCGUAGGCGGCUUGUUGCGUCGGCUGUGAAAACCCAUGGCUUAACCGUGGGCUUGCAGCCGAUACGGGCAGGCUAGAGUUCGGUAGGGGAGACUGGAAUUCCUGGUGUAGCGGUGAAAUGCGCAGAUACUAGGAGGAACACCGGUGGCGAAGGCGGGUCUCUGGGGCCGAUACUGACGCUGAGGCGCGACAGCGUGGGGGAGCAAACAGG